AUGCGCCGCCCACCACGGCUCCGAGCAGCCUCCUCGCCCUCGCUCGCAUGGCGUUCCCUCUGCGCCACCGCCAUUCCCAUUCCCGCCGCGCCGCCCCACCAAACCGAUCCCCUGUCUGCCCACUUCUCCAACCGCCCGGCCGCGCGCGACCCCGCCGUCGUGGAGAACCUCACCUCCACCCUCCGCGCGCUCUUCGCCUCAUCCCCGUCCCACCCGCGUGCCUUCACCCUCCUCAAGUCGGCCGCCUUCGACGCGGGUCUCGCCCCGGGCGCCCUCGUCGACGCCGUCCUCUCAGCCGCGGCCGGCCCUCACUCCGGCUCCCCCGUCGCAGCCGUUCACGUGUCCCUCCUCAGCCGCCUCCUCACCUCCCUCUCCCGCGCCGGCCGCGCCAGCGCGGCCGCCGACGCGUACGCCCACAUGGUCGCCCGCGGCGUUGUCCCGGAUGUCAAGUCCCGCACCGACCUGCUCGUCACCACCGCGCGCUGCUCGUCGGCCCGGGACGCGCUUGCGCUCUUCGCGGAGAUGCGGGGGAGGGGCGACCGCGUGGACGCAUGGAUGUUCGAUGCGCUCAUGCGGGCCUGCGUCAAGGAAGGGAUGCUCGAGGAUGCUGUCAGGCUGUUUGAUGAAAUGCCCGGCGCUGAGAUCGAGCCCGACCAGCGCGUCUACGCUCUUGUGAUCGCGGCACUGUGCAAACUGCGUGAUGCUGACCGCGGGCUCCUCCUCCUUGGGGAGAUGAAGGAGGCUGGCUUCGAGACGUGGGACUUCACCUACAGGUCUCUGGUGGAUGUGCUUGUCAAGGUGGGGAGGAUGGAGGAGGCUCUGCGGGUCAAGGACGAGAUGCUGUCUGCUGGCAAGAAAAUGGAUGUCGUUCUCGCGACGAUUUUGAUGCAUGGGUAUUGCUUGCGAGGCGAGGUCGAGAAAGCUCUGGAUCUUUUCGACGAGACCCUGGCGAAUGGUAUAUUGCCAACUAAUGUGACGUAUGGGACGCUUAUAAGAGGCUGUGAUCAAGCUGGGAUGACACAGAAGGUGUAUGUGCUAUAUCGCCAGAUGAGAGGGCAAGGGCUGUUGCCAAGUUCACACGAGUUCAGUUUGGUUAUCAAGGGCCUGUUGUGCGAUAAACGGUGGGCAGAUGCUGUAAGCUUGUGUCUGGAGAUGGCUGAUUCUAGGCUACCGGAUGUCUUCACGUACAAUGGUCUAAUUCAUUGGCUCUGCCAGCAACACAAGCUCCGCGAAGCACUUAACUUGUUUGGUAAGAUGAAGGAAACUGGAGUGAAACCAUCUGUUGUGACAUACAACAGCUUGUUAAUGGGUUACUGUGAGAAGGGGUGCAUGGAUGAAGCAGUCAAACUGUACUCAGAGAUGCCUGUGGAAGGAUUUGUACCUAAUGUUUUCACGUAUACAUUUUUGAUGAAAGGGUAUAUCAAGAAGAAGGCUUUUGACAAGGCAUAUGCCCUCCUUGAUGAAAUGAAACAAAAUGGAGUUUCUUGCAAUGAGUAUACACAUAAUGUUCUCAUAAAUGGCAUUUGCAUGAGUGACCGGAUUUAUGAAGUUGAUGAAAUUUUGAAGAACUUCAUAGGUGAAGGUUUUGUCCCGACCACAAUGACAUACAACAGUAUCAUCAAUGGAUUUGUGAAAGCUGGUAUGAUGGGCUCAGCAUUUGCUAUGUAUCAGCAGAUGCGUGAGAAAGGUAUACCCGCCAACAUAGUAACAUAUACCAGUUUCAUUGACGGUUACUGCAGGACCAGUUGUUGUGAUCUGGCACUUAAAAUGCUAAAUAAUGUGAGGCGCAAAGGCCUUCAACCUGACAUUGCUGCAUACAAUGCUUUAAUAAGUGGGUUUUGCCAUGAAGGGAAUAUGUCUCAUGCACUGCAAUUUCUUGUUAUUCUGCUGAAAGAUGGUCUAACACCCACAUCUGCCGUCUACACUAAUUUUAUUACCGGGUACAAGGAUUUGAAAAUGAUGAAAGAAGCUUCCAAAUUCUAUGAGAGCAUGAUUAAAGAAGGAAUUGCUGCUGAUACAGUAACAUACACUACCUUAAUCGACGGUUUCUCAAAAGAUGGCAAUGUAGCCUUUGCAUUGGAAUUGUACUCAGAGAUGAUGGCCAAGGGUAACAUUCCCGAUAGUAUCACUUUCACAGCGUUAACACAUGGCCUUUGCCGCAUUGGAGACAUUGAUGGUGCCAAGAAGUUAUUGGAUGACAUGAAGAGGUUGGAUGUACGCCCUAAUGCUCUUAUUUAUAACAUGCUGAUAAAUGGAAGCCUCCGUGAUGGUAAGCUGCAAGAAGCAUUCCAGUUGCAUGAUGAAAUGCUCAACAGGGGAAUUGUUCCUGAUGAUACAACAUCUGACAUAUUGGCUGGCCAGAGAUCUCCGGAAGGUGACAGUUGUGUUGAUGCAGAGAGUCCUAUUUAA
rnacentral:rRNA from 1 species